GACGAACGCUGGCGGCGUGCUUAACACAUGCAAGUCGAACGGAAAGGCCCUGCUUUUGUGGGGUGCUCGAGUGGCGAACGGGUGAGUAACACGUGAGUAACCUGCCCUUGACUUUGGGAUAACUUCAGGAAACUGGGGCUAAUACCGGAUAGGAGCUCCUGCUGCAUGGUGGGGGUUGGAAAGUUUCGGCGGUUGGGGAUGGACUCGCGGCUUAUCAGCUUUUUGGUGGGGUAGUGGCUUACCAAGGCUUUGACGGGUAGCCGGCCUGAGAGGGUGACCGGCCACAUUGGGACUGAGAUACGGCCCAGACUCCUACGGGAGGCAGCAGUGGGGAAUAUUGCACAAUGGGCGGAAGCCUGAUGCAGAAACGCCGCGUGCGGGAUGACGGCCUUCGGGUUGUAAACCGCUUUCGCCUGUGACGAAGCGUGAGUGACGGUAAUGGGUAAAGAAGCACCGGCUAACUACGUG
rnacentral:rRNA from 1 species